rnacentral:rRNA from 1 species
CCAAUAGCGUAUAUUAAAGUUGUUGCAGUUAAAAAGCUCGUAGUUGAAUUUCGGGGUUAGUAGGUUGGUCAUGCCACAGGUAUGUACUGAUCUUACUGAUUCCUCCUUCCUGAUGAACCGUAAUGCCAUUAAUUUGGUGUUGCGGGGAAACUGGACUGUUACUUUGAAAAAAUUAGAGUGUUUAAAGCAGGCUAACGCUUGAAUACAUUAGCAUGGAAUAAUGAAAUAGGACGUUCGAUCCUAUUUUGUUGGUUUCUAGGAUUGACGUAAUGAUUAAUAGGGAUAGUUGGGGGCAUUAGUAUUCAAUUGUCAGAGGUGAAAUUCUUGGAUUUAUUGAAGACUAACUACUGCGAAAGCAUUUGCCAAGGAUGUUUUCAUUAAUCAAGAACGAAAGUUAGGGGAUCGAAGACGAUCAGAUACCGUCGUAGUCUUAACCAUAAACUAUGCCGACUAGGGAUCGGAUGAUGUUAAUUUUUUAAUGACUCA